AGUUUAGCUAAUGUUGCCCGUACCGUAAACCGACACAGGUGGGUGGGAUGAGUAUUCUAAGGCGCGUGGAAGAACUCUCUUUAAGGAACUCUGCAAAAUAGCACCGUAUCUUCGGUAUAAGGUGUGGUUCGCUUCGUAUUAGGAUUUACUCCGAAAGCGAAGAAACUUACAACAAAGAGUCCCUCCCGACUGUUUACCAAAAACACAGCACUCUGCUAACUCGUAAGAGGAUGUAUAGGGUGUGACGCCUGCCCGGUGCUCGAAGGUUAAUUGAUGGGGUUAGCAUUAGCGAAGCUCUUGAUCGAAGCCCGAGUAAACGGCGGCCGUAACUAUAACGGUCCUAAGGUAGCGAAAUUCCUUGUCGGUUAAAUACCGACCUGCAUGAAUGGCGUAACGAGAUGGGAGCUGUCUCAAAGAGGGAUCCAGUGAAAUUGUAGUGGAGGUGAAAAUUCCUCCUACCCGCGGCAAGACGGAAAGACCCCGUGGACCUUUACUACAGCUUGACACUGCUAUUUGGAUAAGAAUGUGCAGGAUAGGUGGGAGGCUUUGAGUAUAUGACGCCAGUUGUAUAUGAGCCAUUGUUGAGAUACCACUCUUUCUUAUUUGGGUAGCUAACCAGCUUGAGUUAUCCUCAAGUGGGACAAUGUCUGGUGGGUAGUUUGACUGGGGCGGUCGCCUCCCAAAUAAUAACGGAGGCUUACAAAGGUUGGCUCAGAACGGUUGGAAAUCGUUCGUAGAGUAUAAAGGUAUAAGCCAGCUUAACUGCAAGACAUACAAGUCAAGCAGAGACGAAAGUCGGU
rnacentral:rRNA from 1 species